rnacentral:rRNA from 1 species
AUGAAAAUAGUCGGAUGGAACUGCCGGGGGCUCGGGAACGGCCCGGCAGUUCGUAGCCUCCUCGAGAUGGGGAGGGUGGAGGUGCCCGAUGUACUGUUUUUGGCGGAGACAAAAUUGUCGGAUAAGGAGUUGCAGAAGUUUCGUUGGAUGUUGGGAUUGCCUCACAUGGCAGCAUGGAGUGCAGAAGGAUGAAGCAGGGGGGUGGUGUUGUUCUGGAGGCGCGAGGUUGAUAUUAUGCUUCGAUCGUUCGGAAGAAGGCAUGUGGAUGUGGACGUUAAGGAGGAAGAUGGUAGAAUCUGGUGGCUUACGGGGGUAUAUGGUGAGUCAGCGGCCGAUCGGAAGGUGCAGACAUGGAAAACCCUACGUGUUCUUGGUCAGCAACACCAAGGGGGUCGACCAUGGCUUUGUUUAGGCGACUUCAACGAGAUUUUAUCACUGGAUGAGAAGGUAGGGGGGCGGAUCGACCACAACGGCUAUUGGAUAAUUUCAGAGAGGCCCUGGAGUCUUGCGAGCUCAGCGACAUUGGGUAUGAGGGUGAUAAGUUUACCUGGCGAAAUCAUAGUAAGGAGCUCAGUUCAUACAUAUGUGAAUGCCUCGAUAGAGCCACGGCGGAUGCUUCUUGGUGUGAUUGGUUUCCUAACUUCAGUGUCCUCAACGGGGCACCCCGCCACUCGAACCACAGGCCCGUUAUUGUAUGCACUCACGGAGGUAACAGAAGGGAGCGGGGUGGAGACCGCAGAUUCCGUUUUGAAGCGUGGUGGCUACAUGAGGAGGGGUGCAGUGAGGAGGUGCAAGGGGCAUGGGAGGAAGGAUGCUUGGAAGGAAGAGGUGAUGUUGCCACAGUGUUGA